UCACUUCUCAGCCUUAUGGCUAAGAUCAAGUGUA
rnacentral:snRNA from 1 species